UGUCCUCUUUGUCAUAUGCUUUGAUGGGGAAAUCUUCCCAUCAAAGCCAACAAGACAAUUAGACACAUCAUACUCCUGGUUUCAUAAAAAUCCGCUGGAUGGCUACACAUUGUGGCAGCAGAGCAUACUUUGCUACUGAUUUUCCAAACUUCUACACAUUACUGAUCCAUCUGUGCAACCUGCAGCAGCAUCCCAACAGCUCAGGGAGAGGACCUGCCUCCAUCAUGGGAACGAACACCUGCAGCAGCUUUGUCCUGAAGCCUCCUUUCCAGCUGUUGCCACAUAGCCUACAGUCUGCCAGCUACUGUGGCCAGGCAGGGGCUUUCGGAGGAGGCAAGAGGCUGUGAUGCAAGUAGGAGGCAUCUGAAAAAACCUUUUGGAUGGUGCUUUGGCCUGGUACCAUCAACUUUCUCUUGUCACUUGGCACAAAAUGUUUCUUUCCUUUCUCACGAGCCUUCUUGCACCUCAUGCGUCAGAGAAAAGAAGGUAAAG
rnacentral:lncRNA from 1 species